AUUGAACGCUGGCGGAAUGCUUUACACAUGCAAGUCGAGCGGCAGCGCGGGGCAACCUGGCGGCGAGCGGCGAACGGGUGAGUAAUGCAUCGGAACAUGUCCAGUCGUGGGGGAUAGCCCGCCGAAAGGCGGAUUAAUACCGCAUACGCCCGGGAGGGGAAAGCGGGGGACCUGCAAGGGCCUCGCGCGAUUGGGUUGGCCGAUGUCCGAUUAGCUAGUUGGUGGGGUAAAGGCCCACCAAGGCGAUGAUCGGUAGCUGGUCUGAGAGGAUGAUCAGCCACACUGGGACUGAGACACGGCCCAGACUCCUACGGGAGGCAGCAGUGGGGAAUUUUGGACAAUGGGGGCAACCCUGAUCCAGCCAUUCCGCGUGAGUGAAGAAGGCCUUCGGGUUGUAAAGCUCUUUUGUCCGGAGCGAAACGGUUGUGGUGAAUAUCCACGACUACUGACGGUACCGGAAGAAUAAGCACCGGCUAACUACGUGCCAGCCGCCGCCGUAACAC
rnacentral:rRNA from 1 species